rnacentral:tRNA from 1 species
AAGGAUUUAAGUUAACUAAACUCUCAACCUUCAAAGCUGAAAAUAGAUUUUUAGUCUAAGCCUUA